ensembl:snRNA U7 U7 small nuclear RNA
AAGUGUUACAGCGCUUUUAGAAUUUGUCUAGCUGUUUUUGCUGGAAAGCUCCAU